rnacentral:rRNA from 1 species
AACGAACGCUGGCGGCAUGCUUAACACAUGCAAGUCGAACGGAUUUAUGGGGCUUGCCCCAUAAGUUAGUGGCAGACGGGUGAGUAUCGCGUGGGAACGUACCCCAAAGUCUGGAAUAACUAUUGGAAACGAUAGCUAAUACCGGAUGUGGCCGAGAGGCUAAAGGUUUACCGCUUUGGGAGCGGCCCGCGUUAGAUUAGCUAGUUGGUGGGGUAAAGGCCUACCAAGGCGAUGAUCUAUAGCUGGUCUGAGAGGAUGACCAGCCACACUGGGACUGGGACACGGCCCAGACUCCUACGGGAGGCAGCAGUGGGGAAUAUUGGACAAUGGGGGCAACCCUGAUCCAGCAAUGCCGCGUGAGUGAUGAAGGCCUUAGGGUUGUAAAGUUCUUUUAUUGAUGACGAUAAUGACGGUAUCCGGAGAAGAAGCCCCGGCUAACUUCGUGCCAGCCGCCGCGGUAAUAC